CCGGGCGGGGUUAGUGCGGUGGACCCCCUUGGGCCCAUACCGAACUCAGAGGGGAACCGCUGUAAGGCCGAUGGUAGUGUGGGGCAUCCCCAUGUGAGAGUAGGGCACCGCCAGGU
rnacentral:rRNA from 1 species